CAUACAUUGAAUGCUUAGGUGAGGGUCGGAGGUCUGAGGUUGCUAAAAAUGAGUAUAAAAAGUUGUAAAACAGACAGGCUUGCAAUAAAACAAUUACAUAUUAUAAUAAGUCUACAUACACUGAAAUAAAUUUUAUAGUAAUUUGAACCAUUCAACUAUGUUUAAUUUUACCAUAUCCAAUAAUAGUAAUGGUAACCAUGAUUUUUAUAGUAAUAAUGAUGUUUUUGCUCAAACUCACUAUGAUCUGACAGAUAACCGCAUAGUAAUUGGAACUAUCAAAUGUGGUUCACACAAUCACAUUUUCCGUGCUUGUUAUAACCAUCUCCGUGUUUACUUGUUACUAUUUACAUGGUUAGUUUGAAUAUACAUAAUUGUACUUUCAGUUUUCUUGUCAGUUCUUGUCAAAAAUUUGUCGAAGUUCAAAACGCAAAUUCUGAAAAAGAAGUCUCUGAGGAACUUUGCGGCUGCUAGUGAAAUCGGCGAAACGUUUUCAUGGUGCAUCAUGCUAGCGCGCGGCUCACCCAGAGGACUGCGGAAGAUAUACUGGAUAUCCGGAUAUACUGCAUCACUUGUACCGCUUCGUAGGCGCUUAUCAUGUUUGUUUGCUACUCCCCACCAUCAAAUGGUCCGGAACUUCUUAUUUCGAAGAUACGGUGAAGAUUUCAUUUUCGGGGCAGCUAGAUGACAUCAGAAUAUCGCAUCGCGGAAUGAAUACGGAGAACCCAUCAACAAGAACCUUAGACUCGAUUAUAUAGAUCUGGCCAGUUCCCUGUGUGCAAAAUCAUUAAUAUUGUUCACAAGAUUUGUUAUACUUAUAUUAUUUAUAUUGAAUAAAUUCAAUGAAAUACUUAUUUUUCAAUAAUUAUUUUAAAUAUAAACAAAAAAGGAGACACUACCCCACUACCAUUGAACCACAUGCAUAGUAAUCAGAACCAUGUAGCGAUGGUUACAUUUACCAUGUUGUUUGUCAUGCACAUAGUAAAAGUUACCCUCGAAAUAAUGUUUAAGAAUACUAUAAAAUGUAAACAUUGAUCGGCAUAGUAAAUUUAACCCUCCACCUAGUGGAAUCAAGGAAAAAAUAUGGUCUACGAAAAUCAAGUAGUAAAGGUGUUUUAUUUUAACCCUAUGAAAUGGUGCCGGUUACUAUGUUCAUUUUUUCAGUGUAGUUUAUGGACAGCGCCUUAUCCAUACGAUACGACAAGAAUAGUGGUAAUCACGUUCAAAUGUAUGCGUGUCUCUUUUGUAGAUGUAGUAGUGAAACUUGGGGGAAAAUAUGUGCACUCUUACCCCGGUUGUUAGUUUUAUCAUUAUUUAGCCGUUUUACCCAAAUCAGUUGGGUAAUAUUUUCAUAUGCAAUCUGAAUAGCCUUUGAAUUGGCGUGCAUUUU